UCCUGUUGAAGACCGUUUUCCAUAAGGUUUGAUUAAAAACCCAAAAAUCAAAAAGAGGGGGAAGACUCCAAAAUAGAAGAACACUGCCGUCUCCAUGUUUGAAGAAGGAUUCACUUGCAGUCUUCCAAAAACCCCGAAAUCCUAAAUUCCCUUAAGAGUCACCCAAAAAAGAGAUCGUGACUUCGACACAAAAAACCAAAAAUAGCUUACGAAUUUGAGCUCAUCGUCCAGAUUGACCAUGUUAAUUUAAGAGCUUCUCUUGCUUUUUCCAUUUAGGAAAACCAUAUCCAUUUCCUCUUCAAACCCAGCAAGCCACACCUUCUCGCGCAAAUCCUCCGUCAACCCCCAGGGAAACACAGCUCCAAAUCAGCAGCAUCGCAGCAUAACCACAGCUAUUUUCCGAUGAGUUUUGGUUUAAUUCGAGUUUUGCAGCGAGUUUCGGGUUCGUCGAAGGUCGUAGUCCGAGCUCCCCAGGCAGGUUUGUGGUUCCAUCGAGUUUGUCCCUGUCUAAGGUUUCCAGUGCUAAGUAUUUUCAGAUUCGAAAAUGGAUUUGUUUUGAGGUCCGUUCCUUUUCUGCUCUGUAAUUUUUGCUCAACAUAGAUAAAUCAUGAUUUGGUCAUUUCUUACGUUAAUGUUUAACAUUUUAGUCGCUGACUCUUAUCUAUUUAUUUAUAAUCAAUUUGUUCUUUCAGUUUGAAACAAUGUUAAUAAAUAUUGAGGUUUUGUUAAGUUGCAUUUUGUUUGGGUUCUGUUCUUAGAGUAAUGAUUAAUUGUGUGUUUAGCUUGCAAUAGUGCAAUUGCUCUAGUUAUUUGACUUUCCGUUGUUAGCAGUGUAUAUACUGGAGAACUGAUAUGGAAAUUGUCUACUACUAAGAUUGUAUGUUAAUGUUUUGGGGCUUGGAUUCACUGGAAACGCAUGGCUGUCGUUAGAUUUGGUAAUUAUGAUGCAAAUUUUAACUAUUGUUGUUUGGGAGCUUCACUUAACUAUCUGUCAAAGCUUCAUCUAUUUUUUCCAUGUGUUUUGGUUAUUCCCCAUUAAUUAGUUGUUAUAUUCUUGAAAAUUUAAAUUAGUAUAAUCUUCCUCCAUGUUUCCC
rnacentral:lncRNA from 1 species